rnacentral:rRNA from 1 species
UACGUAGGGUGCGAGCGUUACUCGGAAUUACUGGGCGUAAAGCGUGCGUAGGCGGUUCGUUAAGUCAGCUGUGAAAGCCCCGGGCUCAACCUGGGAAUUGCGGUUGAAACUGGCGAACUAGAAUCUGGCAGAGGGGGGUGGAAUUCCACGUGUAGCAGUGAAAUGCGUAGAGAUGUGGAGGAACACCGGUGGCGAAGGCGGCAUCCUGGACCGGCAUUGACGCUGAUGAGCGAAAGCUAGGGGAGCAAACGGG